AACAUUCUCAACCUGUAGUUGGCAACUUUUCAUUGGCAACAUGUCCUUGUCUGCUAUUCAGGACUUUAGUAUCAUGAAAUUUAAGCAGAAAGGAUAAGAACUGCCUGGCCCAAGAUUGGAGCUUCUCCAGGAGAGUAAUAAGACAUGAGGUUGAAAAAGCAGAUUGGAGAGAGAUUGCAAAGAGCCUUGACUGUCAACUUGAUAAUAGCAAAACUAGUGAAAGUUUACACAACACUAAGCAUGUGUCAGAAUUUGGAAAACUUAGAUAACUUGGCCAACCUAAUAUAGCUGGUACUCUGAUCCUAUAAGCUGAGCUCUUAGACUGCCAGGAGUUUGGGUUUUAUUCUACAGGUAUGGGAAGUUUUUUUUAAAAGAAAGUUUAUUUUUUUUUUUUAUUUUUUUUAGACAGAGUCU